rnacentral:rRNA from 1 species
CCAAUCGAACUCGGAGAUAGCUGGUUCUCCUCGAAAUAGCUUUAGGGCUAGCCUCGAGAGGAGUCUAACGGAGGUAAAGCACUGAACUGACGCGGGGCCCAAAAAGGUUACCAACUCAUAUCAAACUAAGAAUGCCGUCAAGAUACCCUCGGGAGUCAGUCUGCGUGAGAUAAGUCGCGUGGACAAAAGGGAAAGAGCCCAGACCGACAGCUAAGGUCCCAAAGUACGUGUUAAGUGGAAAAGGAUGUGGGAUUUCAUAGACAACUAGGAUGUUGGCUUAGAAGCAGCCAUUCAUUAAAAGAGUGCGUAAUAGCUCACUAGUCGAGAAAACCUGCGCCGAAAAUGUAACGGGGCUAAAACACGACACCGAAGCUACGGAUUUCUUACAAAAGUAAGAAGUGGUAGAGGAGCAUCCUGCGAGGACGAAGCCAAAGUGAGAGCAAUGGUGGACGAAACAGGAGAGAGAAUGCCGGAAUGAGUAGCGAGAUAACUGUGAGAAACAGUUAGGCCGGAUAUCUAAGGUUUCCUGAGUAAAGCUAAUCUUCUCAGGGUUAGUCGGGGCCUAAGGCGAGGACGAAAGUCGUAGUCGAUGGAUAACAGGUUGAUAUUCCUGUACUGCACAUAAUCAGAAGUGUGGGGACGCAGGAGGAUAAGUAAACCGGGGAGAGGAAAGACCCGGUCAAGCAUAAAGGCAUGGUAAAUAGGAAAAACCGUUUAUCUAAGCUGAAAUGUGAAGAGGACUGAAAAAGAGUAAGGAAGUUACUGAAUCCACACUGUCGAGAAAAGCCGCUAUAGUAUUAUUUGUACCCGUACCGUAAACCGACACAGGUAGAUGAGGAGAAAAUCCACAGGCUGACGGGAGAAGUGUUGUUAAGGAACUCGGCAAAAUGACCCCGUAACUUAGGGAAAAGGGGAACCAACGAGAGUUGGUCGCAGAAAAGAGGCUCAAGCGACUGUUUAGCAAAAACACAGGUCUCUGCGAAACCGAGAGGUGAAGUAUAGGGGCUGACACCUGCCCGGUGCUGGAAGGUUAAAAGGAGAGGUAAGGCGCAAGCUGAAGCUUUGAAUUCAAGCCCCAGUAAACGGCGGCCGUAACUAUAACGGUCCUAAGGUAGCGAAAUUCCUUGUCAGGUAAGUUCUGACCCGCACGAAAGGUGUAACGAUUUGAGCACUGUCUCGACAACACGCCCGGUGAAAUUGAAGAACCAGUGAAGAUACUGGUUACCCGCAACAGGACGGAAAGACCCCAUGGAGCUUUACUGCAGCCUGAUACUGGGAUUCGAUGAUAUAUGUACAGGAUAGGAGGGAGGCUAAGAAGCGAGUACGCUAGUAUUCGUGGAGCCGCUGGUGGGAUACCUCUCUUAUAUCAUUGGAUUUCUAACUUGCAUCUGUGAACCAGAUGAAGGACAAUGUCAGGCGGGCAGUUUGACUGGGGCGGUCGCCUCCAAAAGAGUAACGGAGGCGCUCGAAGGUCACCUCAGAAUGAUUGGAAACCAUUCAAAGAGUGUAAAGGCAAAAGGUGGCUUAACUGCGAGAGCGACGGUUCGAGCAGGUACGAAAGUAGGACUUAGUGAUCCGGUGGUAAUAAGUGGGAAUGCCAUCGCUCAACGGAUAAAAGCUACCCUGGGGAUAACAGGCUUAUCUCCCCCAAGAGUUCACAUCGACGGGGAGGUUUGGCAC